GAUGAACGCUGGCGGCGUGCCUAAUACAUGCAAGUCGAGCGAACAGACGAGGAGCUUGCUCCUCUGACGUUAGCGGCGGACGGGUGAGUAACACGUGGAUAACCUACCUAUAAGACUGGGAUAACUUCGGGAAACCGGAGCUAAUACCGGAUAAUGUAUUGAACCGCAUGGUUCAAUAGUGAAAGACGGUUUUGCUGUCACUUAUAGAUGGAUCCGCGCCGCAUUAGCUAGUUGGUAAGGUAACGGCUUACCAAGGCAACGAUGCGUAGCCGACCUGAGAGGGUGAUCGGCCACACUGGAACUGAGACACGGUCCAGACUCCUACGGGAGGCAGCAGUAGGGAAUCUUCCGCAAUGGGCGAAAGCCUGACGGAGCAACGCCGCGUGAGUGAUGAAGGUCUUCGGAUCGUAAAACUCUGUUAUUAGGGAAGAACAAAUGUGUAAGUAACUUUGCACGUCUUGACGGUACCUAAUCAGAAAGCCACGGCUAACUACGUG
rnacentral:rRNA from 1 species